UGCACACGCUUUGAUCCACUGUACAGGAUAAUGGAGGUCCUUUCAGAUCCAACUGUGCGGCGUGUUGUGGUCAUCGAUCCCAAUAGCCGGCAUGUAGAAGGCAUAAUAACUUUGAGAGAUGUGUUUAAUCUUCUUUUAGGCUGAAAUUUCUCUUAAUCUAUUUCACAGGUGGGAAGUAAGCUAGGACGAUGUCUUUCUAGUGGCUGCUCAAUUGGUCAAAGAGAAAAGUUGUCACUAUAUCAUUUAGCUGAGUGGAAAAGAUUUUUAUAUAUCAUCAUCAAUAAAAACUGUAAAAUUGUAGCAUCAUAAAUGAAGUUUGUGUAGUCAAGGAAAAGAAGAGAAUACAGAAACCUGGACCAAGAUGUAACUCAAGAAUUUUCUUAAAAGUAUAUAAAAAUAUAGUAUGUUG
rnacentral:misc_RNA from 1 species